UGUUGGUUCUCCCGCAACGCUAACUUGUUAACUCGGUCAGGUCCGGAAGGAAGCAGCCAUGGCAGGUGUCGUGUGUGCCGGGAUGUCGCUGGCAAGG
rnacentral:SRP_RNA from 3 species